rnacentral:rRNA from 1 species
UCUUCCCUCUUUCUUCGUGCCUAAUACAUGCAAGUCGAGCGAACGGACGAGAAGCUUGCUUCUCUGAUGUUAGCGGCGGACGGGUGAGUAACACGUGGAUAACCUACCUAUAAGACUGGGAUAACUUCGGGAAACCGGAGCUAAUACCGGAUAAUAUUUUGAACCGCAUGGUUCAAAAGUGAAAGACGGUCUUGCUGUCACUUAUAGAUGGAUCCGCGCUGCAUUAGCUAGUUGGUAAGGUAACAGCUUACCAAGGCAACGAUGCAUAGCCGACCUGAGAGGGUGAUCGGCCACACUGGAACUGAGACACGGUCCAGACUCCUACGGGAGGCAGCAGUAGGGAAUCUUCCGCAAUGGGCGAAAGCCUGACGGAGCAACGCCGCGUGAGUGAUGAAGGUCUUCGGAUCGUAAAACUCUGUUAUUAGGGAAGAACAUAUGUGUAAGUAACUGUGCACAUCUUGACGGUACCUAAUCAGAAAGCCACGGCUAACUACGUG